rnacentral:rRNA from 1 species
UACGUAGGUGGCAAGCGUUGUCCGGAAUUAUUGGGCGUAAAGCGCGCGCAGGCGGCCUUUUAAGUCUGAUGUGAAAGCCCACGGCUCAACCGUGGAAGGUCAUUGGAAACUGAGAGGCUUGAGUACAGAAGAGGAAAGCGGAAUUCCACGUGUAGCGGUGAAAUGCGUAGAGAUGUGGAGGAACACCAGUGGCGAAGGCGGCUUUCUGGUCUGUAACUGACGCUGAGGCGCGAAAGCGUGGGGAGCAAACAGG